rnacentral:rRNA from 1 species
UACGGAGGGAGCUAGCGUUGUUCGGAAUUACUGGGCGUAAAGCGCACGUAGGCGGCUUUGUAAGUUAGGGGUGAAAGCCCGGAGCUCAACUCCGGAAUUGCCUUUAAGACUGCAUCGCUUGAAUCCGGGAGAGGUGAGUGGAAUUCCGAGUGUAGAGGUGAAAUUCGUAGAUAUUCGGAAGAACACCAGUGGCGAAGGCGACUCACUGGACACGUAUUGACGCUGAGGUGCGAAAGCGUGGGGAGCAAACAGG